GGUCCCGUAGCUCAGCGGAUAGAGCAACCGCCUCCUAAGCGGUAGGUCGCGCGUUCAAGUCGCGCCGGGACCACCA
rnacentral:tRNA from 1 species